GCUGGGCAUGGUGGUGGUAGCCUGUAAUCCCAGCUACUAGGGAGGCUGAGGCAUAGGAUUGUGUUUGAGACCAGGCCAGGCCAUCCUUGACAAAAAUAGUGAAAAUCUGUCUCAA
rnacentral:sRNA from 1 species